rnacentral:tRNA from 1 species
AGGGAAAUAGCUCAGUGGUAGGGUGUAUGCUUAGCAUGCACGAGGUCCUGGGUUCAAUCCCCAGGACCCUUG